rnacentral:rRNA from 1 species
AUGACCAUGGGCUUGCUGGCCGGAGAUGGCGGUGGCGGCGGCCUUGGCUACAACACGAGCUGCGGGAAGACCAGCGGCCUGGUGUGGAACCUGACGUCCUCCUACGCGGACCAGAGCAACGAGGCCUCCAUGAUGUCCGCCACCGUCAUCAUGUUCCUCCUCGCCGCACUCUUCUUCAACCUCAACCUCUUCAGCGGCCUCUCCGACACCAGCGCCAUCCUCGACCCCAAGGUCCGCGUCGUGCUCUCCAAGGCGCUCUCCCUCUUCCUCCCCGUCAUGUCCUACCUCUUCUCCGAGGCCAAGAACGCCGGCGGCCUCGCGUGCGGCGGCGCCGCCGCGCCCGAGCUCCCGCUGCGGGCCCGGCUGAUCCUCACGUGGAUGCUCCUCGUCGAGCUCCUCCGCAACAAGGUGGAGGAGAUCCGCAUGCAGCGCGGGGACGACGGCUGGCACAGGGGCACCGUGGAGCGCGCCGGCCGCGUCGUCUGGCUCGGGAGCCUCGUCUUCUUCAACCUGCGCGGCGCCGGGCGCAAGUCCGUGCUGGGCAUCCUCUGGCUCCUCUGCGUCGCCAAGCUGGUGCAGAGGGUCACCUUCACCUUGGUGGGGAAGAACUCUCUCGCCUACGGGAAGAACGCGCGCCUCAUCAUCUCCUACAUGCAUCAUGUGCCUCAUCAUCAGCCGCUGCAGCAGCAGCAUGGAGACGACGCCGACCACGGCGACGAGCUCUUGCAGAGGUGUCGGUACGCGGUGAUGGGAGAAGACAAGCUGGUGAAUAAGCCAACCCCGGCCGGCUACAGCGUCACAAGUGACAUCACCACCGCCCCGACGACGACGACCGUCGGGAAAAUCUGGCGGCUUGCAGAGGAUGACCCCUUCCUUGCCUCCGUCGACCAAGACGGGCGGCUGAGGAGGCUCUGCCUCUCCUUCGCGCUCUUCAAACUCCUUCGCCGGAGUUUCGAGCACCUGCCGCCGAUGAGCGAGGCCGAGACCCGCGACUGCCGGAGCCUCAUCUUCUUCGAAGGGGGCUUGUACUGCAGCAGCAAGAGGAGCAACCGGAGCAAUGGCCAAGGCGAAGACGAGAAGGCAGUAGCAGCAGCAGAGGAAUUAUUCCAGGUGAUGAAGGACGAGACCAUCUUCCUGAGCGAGUACUACCACUCCGUCGUCCCCGUGGCCCUGGCGAGCCCCUUCUUCCUGCUCGCCAACUACCUGCUCCUCCCGGCCAUGGUGCUGCUCCUCUGCCUCGUUAUCGUCGUCCUCUGCGGCAACGGCGACGUGCCCUUCGCCUUCCACAGCCUGAGGAGCGACAACUACAGCGUCUCGUUCGGGGUGCUCAGGAUGGCCAGGUGCCUCCUGACGAGAGUCCUCAGUUCGCCCUCGGUCUUCUUCUCCACCAUCGACCUCUCCAUCACCUUGCUCCUCUUCCUCGUGCUGGUGUACGAGCAGGUGUGGGAGUUUGUGGUCUUCCUCUUCUCCAACUGGUUCCUCGUGUCCAUGCUCCACGGCUACGCCGCCAAGCCCCGCUGGCGCCGGAGCGCCACCUUCAACUGGGCCAUCCGCCGCAUGCUCUGGGUGAGGAGCAAGAUGAGCCACCCGGACAUCACCAUGAGGCAGUUCUCCGCGCUCAGGUCCUGCCGUCUCAGCCGCCAGCUGAGGAUGGUGCCGGCCGUCUCGCUGACGCUGCCGACCAUCCCCGUGCCGAAGGAGGUGAAGCAUUCCAUCGCGGAGUACCUAUUACUAUCAGCAACGUCGCUGCAGGAGGAGGACGACUGCGACCCCACCGCCACUCGUCGUGGUCUUCUCAGCAACGGUCAGCUCGCGGUCGCCGAGUACGCGGAGCUCCGGCGUGCGUGCAAGAGCGAGAGCAUCGCCGAGGUGAUCCUCGCGUGGCACAUCGCCACCUGCCUCUUCGAGGAGAAGUUUCCGUCACCGCACGCCUCGCCCUCGCGUGACAUGGUUGUGGCGACGACGCUGUCCAGGUACUGCGCCUACCUGGUAGCCUUCCACCCGGAGCUACUGCCGGAAAACGAGGAGAGCACAGAGCGCGUCUUCGAGAUCAUGGAGGAAGAUCUGAGGCGUACGGUCGGUUUCUGGCGCUACCACCUCCCGGCGGCGGUGGCGCCGCUGCUGGGUUCCGGGUACGAGCAGAUCAUGCGCCUGGAGGAGAGGCCGAACCUGGCCCAGGCGCUAGAAAUGGCGGAGAUGUCGGCGCUGCAGAGGGGGGCCAUCCUAGAGCGCGCGCUGGAGAAAGAAGCCAAGUGCGCCGCAGGCGUGGAGGGGAUGUGGAAGGUGCUGGCUGAUCUGUGGGUGCAGCUCAUGGUGUACGUGGCGCCGUCGGGGGGCGAGGAGCACGUCAUGGGGCACGCCAAGGUGCUGCCGGAGGGCGGCGAGUUCGUCACCGUGCUCUGGGCGCUGGCCACGCACACCGGCAUGCGCCGCGCCGCGCCGGUGGCUGUCGGCAGCAUGGAACAUGUUUAG